GCAUACUGACACCACAAUGCCUCGCGCGAUACAGGCGCGUUAGAAUGAGGGCAUAUAUUGUGUAGUUGUCUUGCCACAAGCUCAUGGUCCCGACCUGGGCAGUACUCCCGGAAUUAAGGAACGUUGCACAACGUUUUACGGUUUACACGCUAGCCUCCUGCCAUACGUACGGCCGAAUAGAAAAACGGAAUUACGCUCAAUUUAAAACAAAGCCAAAACGACUGCGCUCCAUUCCAAAGAGCGAGAAAGCGGCAGCUGAAGAGAAGUGUCCUGAAAGUCGAAAUGACUCGUACAACGCUUACUAUCCUCGCACUCCUUGUGCUCAUAACGACUUUCGCGGUCGACUCCUUAUAGCGAUUUGUUUUACUAUCCUACAACCUGGCCAUCUUGGAAUCCAUUGCUGAGCUGGUAUCGUUGCCGAGUGGGCGAAAUAUUCACGGAGUGUCAGAGUAGCGACUGCGGUGAGUCGAUGUGCUGGCAACUCCUGGGCUGGGAACAGUACACUGAGCAUCGAUGUAAACUCGACUGCGUGUCCAAGUGCUUCUGCCGUCCUGGCUUGUACAGAAACCGCAGGGGGCAGUGCGUGAAGCCCUGGCAGUGCCCGCAGUACAAGCACCGCGUGGUGUUCAACUGGAAAGCUGUUGUCUGAAGAAAUGAAGAUGUGGUGAAGAUGUUUUCCUUUUACAAUAAAAUGUUUCCUUGUACAACGCAACAAGUUGAUGCA